CAAAACUCUUUGGUCAUUAAAUUAAAAUCUCUCGCUCUUCACAUUCAAAUCUCGCUCACGCUGCGAUCUAAUCACUUAUUCUUUCGCGUGUUUGUUUCGAUCUCGAUCUCGCUGGAUUUUAAUCCCAAUUUCGCUCUCGUUCGAUCUCAAUUUUCGAUCUCGAUUCUCGAUAUCUUUCCGGUGAGACUGCAGCCUUUGAAUUUGUCGCCGAUCUGCUCUCCUAAGUCAUUGUUGCCUUUAUGAUCAUUGCUGCUCCUCUGUCCUCCUCAUUGUAAGUGUCUCUGUUUUUCACUCCCAGUCAUUGUCACCAACUCACCAUCGCUUUGUAGCUUCUUAUUACAGAACGAAGAAGAGAAACUUCAACUACACAAGUACAAACAUUUUGCUAUGAUUUGUUUGCCUCACCGGAUAAUCUUCAACUACAGCAAGGCAUUCCAGUUAUUUCCAAGUGGUUAAUCUAUAAUCAAUUUAAAUUUGUUGCUUCUAAAGGAAUCAAACUUGGAGGGAUUGGGAGUGUGCGAGGCUAUGGUAAACGAGCAAUAGGGUCUGGAAGAUCUUGUCCACUUCCUUUGGAUGAUGGAGUAAAAGUCCGACAUAGCGCACUGGAACUGCGACAGUUGGGGAUAGCAGCAACACAUUGUAAACUUGAGCCUAUGGUUGCCAAUUUCAUCAAAGUUUUAUGAAGUCAGGAGAUAUGCAAGUAUGCGCUGAUGGAGAUGGGUUAUGACUCACCAAACCUUCCCAUAGGGAUGGUUACACAGCUUCACUUGAAAAGAUGUAUGCAAUUUGGUGAGGAAGCACUGUUGGAGUUCAUAGAGAAGGUUAAGUCAUCGAAGGAGAAGGAGUAGAGUGGACCAAAGGCUAGGCUGCCUGGACAGAUAUUAGCUAAAGAUGGUUCACUAUGAUGCACUCCACUAGGCCUUUCCUUUUCAGAGAUUAUCAAGAGAUUGCAGAACAUAUACUAACUAUCAUGGUGGACAAUAUUGAGAAAAUAUUGGAGAGAGGUGAUCGGAUUGAGCUUCUUAUCGAUAAGACCGCUACAACGCAAGACAGUGCAUUUCACUUUAGGAAACAAUCAAAGUUUCGAAGAGCUCUUUGGAUGAAAAUUUUGAAACUCCUGUGAGUUUAAUUUCUUUCAUAUGUUUCCUAUUACAGUAAUUUAUAAAGUAUAUGGAUUCCAAAAUCAGUAAAUCAUAAGGUAGAGGGCACCUUUUCCUUUUCUUGGAAUUCUUGUCUUGAUUGUAUGUGUCUUUGGUCUUCAACAUGGCGCGAUUGAUUUGCUUGAUUGUUCUCAUACUUUACCUUAUUAUCGCUGCUUGUUGUGGAGGCAUCACUCUACCAUCAUGCAGAUCUUAGUUGACAGUUCGACAGUUCACAAAAUGAAUCCUAUGAAUAUAUGUAUCGGAGUAUUCCAAAUUCAAAUUUAUGAGCUUGAGCAGAAAAAUUGAGAAUUUAAAAACAGUUACGUAUUUGUUGGCUAUGUUUUUUCUCGUUGCUGUAUUAUAAAAAUUAAAAAUACAAGCUGGAGCCUGAUGAAAUUCUAUGCCAUUAUUGUGA